UACGGAGGGUGCAAGCGUUAUCCGGAUUCACUGGGCUUAAAGGGUGCGUAGGCGGAUUUGUGCGUCCGUGGUGAAAUCUCCGAGCUUAACUCGGAAACUGCCAUGGAUACUAUAAGUCUUGAAUGUUGUGGAGGUUUGCGGAAUAUGUCAUGUAGCGGUGAAAUGCUUAGAUAUGACAUAGAACACCGAUUGCGAAGGCAGCAGGCUACACAAAUAUUGACGCUGAGGCACGAAAGCGUGGGGAUCAAACAGG
rnacentral:rRNA from 1 species